rnacentral:lncRNA from 1 species
ACAGGGUAGUUUUAUCCAUGAAAUCUCGAAUCCAUAGGCGAGUGCGGUGUGCAUGGAAGAGUAGGAAUGGUUAUCGAAAGUGGAGAGAGAAGUGGGAGCAACAAGCUUUACCUCACACCCAACUUCUAAGUCCUCUGCUUUUAGGUCUCCACCAAUUGCAUAUGAAUACCCCUUCCCCUCCCACUUCACCCACUCUCCACUCUCCACAUACUUCCCUUUCUCUCCCACCGAAUCGUUACAAUUCACCAACACUAUAUGCGAGAAACUCAGAGAUUCCCAAUUUACAGAGGCUCUUAGACCAGCUUGGUAUGGAUCCGUGUAGUAAGCGUAAGUGUCAGAGAAAUUGGAGCGAGAGAGGAAACGGAGAGGAAGGGAGGAGAGAUUAUGGUGUUGAAGAGCAGGAUCAACCACUCUCACUGUGUAGUUCUUGUAGUUUAUUGACUGCACAUGAUAUUUUGCAGAGUACAGAUACAACACCGUAACAUUAUUCUCACAACCAAGCUCAUACCUUUUCUCACCACACUUUUCUGGGUCGCCUUUUAAUCGAAAAGGGUGAUUGAUGUUGGUGAUUUUACCACAGGAAGAAGGGGGGCAGCCACCAUGGAUUUUAUGGACUAGAAGUAGCAAUAUCACCAUGAAUGCUCUGUUUCGCCACAUCAUGUUCAAAUUAUCAUGUGCAAACAAAUCAAAGUCGGAUAUUGAUAUUUAAAACAGCACAGACUAUCUUUAUGACUAUUAAGGACCACAUGUUUCCUUUUAGAAAAGUGUUUGAGGACUUAUGAUACUUAAAACGUAGACUUUGACUGCGAAACCGCGUUUCUGUUUCCGCAACUCAUUUUAAUCAAUGCAAAAUUUUAAAUAUUCGUAAAGUGCAUCAAUUCUGAUUUAGAUAUUUAAUCAUGUAAUUUUGUUAAUGAUGUUCUUUUGAAUUUCUAACACCUUCCUAAAUUGUUCUUUUUGGAAGCUUAUAUAAAUAUGGUGUUGAAAAAUAAUUUUAAUGAUUUUAUAAUUUUUAUUUUAAAAUAUAUUCAUUGUCUAGUGGUAGUGUAAUACAGUCCAGUGGUUUUGUUCGGACAGUCUAAGAGGUCAUUAUACUGUCUAGCAUUCUCUAGUAGUAGUGUAACACCGUCUAGUGGUUUUGGCCGGACAGUCAAAGAGGUCUUAUAGACCGUCUAACGGUUCUAGUGAGAUCGUCUAGCUCGUCUAGCUAGUUUAGUAACAAGACUAUCUAGCGGGUUUGUUUUGUCUUUUUAUUCUAUUUAUAUGUUUAUAUGUUGUAAUCUUGAGAGUGUGUGUAUCUCAUGCUCUAUUUUUCAAAAAUUCUGGUUUUCUUCUUUUGUUUCUUGCUUUUACGAGUUGCGUUAUCAUUUCAUUAAUUUGUGUUACUAUGCAUUGAUAAGUGUCUAAUUUCAGUAAUAUUUCAUAUUAAAAUAUAGACACUUAUGAGGAUUUUUUUCUAAUUUACAUAAAAAAUAAUUCCUUAUUUAUAAAUUUAUACUUUUUUACAUUUUUGUAUGAUCUUUAUUUAAAUAAGAGCAUUUUAUUCCCAAAUUUGGUGUUAAUUGCAGGUUUCUAGGGAGGAUUGAAGAUUUGCAGUAAAGGAUAAUGAUUUGAGCUAAAAAGAGAAAGCUGGAAGUUCUCAGAAUAGAGAAAAGCGCCGAAAAACCCAAUGUCGCCAAAGGAGUAUCUCACUCAAGCGAGAUAUUCUCGUUGAAGUGAGAAUGCGUCAGACAGAAUGGGCUUUUUUUUAUGUUUUAUCACUUAGCCCAUCAACGCGACACAGGAAGCGACCUAACCCUUGAAAGUUAGGUUAAAUAGGGGGCUAGAGGCUCAACCCUAGUGUGUCAGAUUGAGAGGAAAACACCAUAGAGUGAAUUGUAACCCAUUUGAGAUAAUGGAAGGUGUUAGAAGUAUGUGUGGCUUAUUAUUCUACCCUUUCAAAUUGGGAGUAAUUUGUUCGAACUCUUAUGUAUUGAGAUGAUAUCUAUAUAAUAUAAUAUCCAGUUCUUGAUUGAUUAUUGGUACUCACCUAAAUAACAAUACUUAACAUAUUUGAGUGCUAGAAAUAGACUUGAAAUGUUAAUUGUUAUUAACAUAUGAGUUUGAUUCUAAAUUGUUCUUAUAAAUAUGUGAGGGAUCGAUAUUUAGGGAACAUUCUUAAGAAUUUUAUAUGUGAGGAAUCGAUAUAAAUGACUUUUAUACGGGCAUCAAUUUCAGGCAAAGAACUUAAUAUUAACAUGCUAAUCAAAAUACAUGAGUGAUACAAAUGAAACCCAAUCCCCAUUUUUCCAAUUGAAGCAAUUACUCUUUGAUUUGUUUUCUUGUUAAUUCUUGUCGUUAUAACAAUUUUCAAACCAACUUUUUAUUAUUCUGUUUUAUAUUUAGCGAAUAUUGUACUUGAAUAGUCAAUUAUUCCUUAUGGGAUCGAUAUCCGUCCUUAAGGACAAAUUAUUGCUUUUGACAACGCGGUGCACUUGCCGUAAAAAGUCAUCAUUACGUGUGUAAUGAAUUACCAUUUUUAUUAUGCUAUCAAAGUAGGUUGAAUGACCUAUUUUGCCUCCACUGUUGUUUCUAUUCUUUUUCUUUCUUGCUGAAUAAUUGUUUUCUCUUGUGGACUAUUUUUCUUGUUUUCUUCAUGUAUUUUUCUGAAACAUAAUACAGAUAGCAAGGUUUUGUUCUGGAUCUUUGCAAUAAUCCCUCAAGCUGAUAUUACUUGCAUCUUGGAGAAUAUUUUGGAACUGCGUUUAUCUCUCCUAAACUAAAUGGAGAAAAUCCCUUCGCAUAAAGGGAAAAUUGUGGUAUUAAAGUUGACACCUCUCAUAGUUAAGUUUGAUCUUGUUGGUACUUAUUCCACCAAAACCCUCCAAUCAAAGGUUUGAGCAUUCUGGAGUGCUCAGACAUUCUCAAACAAAUUGAAUAAAGUAUUACUCACAUAGGUAUUUUUUAAUAUAGCAUAUGAUGACUUGUCAUAGUACUUUCCAUCCUCUUCCCCUAAUCAUUGCCAUCUAUCUUGGUUGUCUUUUUGUAAUUGUGAAAAGUUUAAUUCUCCCAAAUUACCAUUCAAACCUCUCUCUUAUCCACUUUUAAGUUUCACUCCUAACAAUUUUGUGACCAACUUUCUAAUUCUCUUACUGUUUUCCUUUACAAUUAGAAAUUGAGAAUACCCUAGGAAACUUUUGUUUAAAGGUCACCUCUCCUAAUCAUCCUUUCAAUAAGUGAUUGAUAGAUGUUAUUUAUUGACUUCCCUUUUCUAAAUGCCCUUUCUGGCAUUAUUGGUAAGUUCUGAUACUAAGCCUUUAAGGCUCGGCUUGAUGCUUAAUUAGUGGGUUGUGUGGCGUUAUAGCUAUAGGUAAGGUUUGAUAUUAAGCCUCUAAAGCUUGGCCUAACAGUACAAGAAAAUCAUGAAAUAGAAACCAAUUUUUAGAGACUAAAAUAAUUAGUUGCAAUAGUAACUAAAUUAGAGACCAUUUUAGAAACUAAAAAGAAAUUUGGUUUCUAAAUUAGUUUCUAUUAUUUUCUAUUAUUGUUAAAUAGUUUCUAAAUUGGUAUCUAAUUAACAACCAAAGUUUUUGCUACCAAAUUUAGAAACUAAAUAAUUGGUAGUUAAAACCUUAGUUGCUAAUUAGAUACCAAUUUAGAAACUAUUUAACAAUAAUAGAAAAUAAUAGAAACUAAUUUAGAAACCAAUUUUAUUUUUUUAGUUUCUAAAAUGGUCUCUAUUUUAGUUCCCAUUGUAACUAAUUAUUUUAGUCUCUUAAAAUUGGUUUCUAUUUCAUGAUUUUCUUGUAGUGUAAGGUUUGGUCGGUGGCAUUAUAGGUAGGUUAUGAUCUAUAUAACGAUAAUUUGGACUGAAAGAGAGCCAAUCCCAGAAAAAUUCCUAUGAUUAUAUAUUUAAUAGAUGAAUAUCGUUUAUGUCUCCUAAACAUUUAAGACACUUUUAAGACAAGAAUAAAAUGUUAUAAAGGUAAUUUUGGCCUUUAAUAAUGAAUAAAGACUUAAAGUAGGACCAAAUACAAGAAAAUGAGAGGAUUAAUAGAGCAUCAAAAGGAUAUACAAGGUCAGAAAAAGGCAAAACAAAAACUAGGGUUGAAUUGUUUUCACAAGAUUUUCGCAAUACUGGAGUCAGAUUGAAAUCUUAAUCAAAUCAACUAACUAAUUUAUCUGUUCAACUAAUUAUAAAAAGCACAACAAGUAUAUAUUCAAAAAUUAAAAACCAGUUGUUACGAGAAUUCAACCAAUUGAUUUAAAUGCAAAACACCGAAAAGCAAUUGAUAAAACAAAUAUCAGAGUAAGAGAUAGAGAGAUUACACAUGAGAUUUAUACUAGUUCACUCCUACACCAAAAGCUACAUCUAGUCCUCAUCAAACCAUUGAGAAUUCACUAAAGCAAACAUACAAGAUUUACAACACACAACACUCUUAACCACACACAAAAUUCACACUAGUGCAAAUAACACUUUUUACAACAUUAAGUCAGUUAAAUGAGAACCGAUGUAAACAAAAAUGUGGUGACAUUUUUGUAAAUAUUUGACACAUAUUACACCAGUGAAGCUAUCCAACCGGUGUAAUAUGUCCUACUUAGAGAAAAAAAAGUAUUUUUAGAUUUUUUAUCUUUGGGAUUACAUAUAAUACCGGUUUAAUAGAGGAAUUGGUGUUAUAUAUCAUUUUCAGAUUAAAAAAACUUGUUUUCAAACAAAAUUAAGAAUGAUUGCAGCGGUAUUAAUAACUAAACUUGAUAAAUGAUAAAAAGUUGAUAUAUAAUCCAUACGACGACUCUGUAUGGGGCAAUACGUAACUGGAAAACAUAUAUAUGGAUCAUUGCAUCAAUUUAGAAAAUUUAGGCUAGAGAACCUCAUAAAAGUUACCCUAUAUCAAGACAUGAUUUCAUGAAUUAUAUUUAAAAAAAAUAGAGAUUUUAUACAGAUACAAACAUCAAUCAAAAUGUGAGAAAACAGCUUUAUGAUAUUUAUUUGUAAUCCAUCUACUAUUUAGUUUUUGAAAAUUACCUCAUUUCUAUGAGACCAAAUUGUCCACAAAGUAGCAAUUCAUAUGGUUCUACAUAUUUGGUUAUGUUUCCUUGUUAGCCUACAUGUUCAUAGGUAAUGUAUUUUAGCAUUUUUGUGGUGUACAAAGGUAAGUCUAAGCGCACACAUAUCCCAAAUUUGUUUUGCUACCCGACAAUUAAAGAAUAAAUUAUUUAUAGAUUCGUCUAAAUUGACACACAAAAUGCAUGAAAGAUUUGUGAUUGGGAUGAGUCUCUUACAAAGAUUAUAAAGAGUGGCAACUUUAUUUUGGAGUAACCUCCAAACGAAUAACAUAACUGAUGGUAAAGCCUUGAAGCUCCAUAAACUUAGAAACACGUUGUCAUCCUUGCCUGCUUCUAAUCGCUCUAAACCACAUAAUUUUGCUCCUCUUAUUAAUUGUAAUAUCACGGACAAAACAUUGUGGCACUAUAGACUGGGGCACCCUUCACAUGAAAGAUUACAUGUCUUACGCAAACAAUACCCUUUUAUUACUAUUGAUACUCAUCAUGUAUGUGACACUUGUAAUCGUGCAAAACAGAAAAAAAACUUCCUUUCACUUUAAGUACUACUGCUACCUCUUCUAUUUUUGAUCUUGUACACUUUGAUAUUUGGGGACCCUGUUCCAUAACUUCUAUGCAAGGUUUUCGUUAUUUCUUAACUAUUGUUGAUUAUUACUCGCGCUAUACUUGGGUUAUUUUGUUGCAUAAUAAAUCUGAAGUGCGUCCGCACAUCAUUAACUUCACUCUUUUUGUUCAAAAUCAUUUUCAAACUAAUAUCAAAACGAUUCGUACUGACAAUGGUGUUGAGUUUGCUAUGUCAAGUUUUUAUGCUUCAAAGGGAAUUAUACAUCAAACAUCUUGUGUUGAAACACCACAACAAAAUGGCAUUGUGGAACGUAAACAUCAACACAUACUAAAUGUAACCAGGGCCUUACUUUUUCAAGCAAAUCUUCCUCCCAUCUUUUGGGAAUUUGCUGUAAAUCAUGUUGUUUUCUUAAUAAAUUAUAUUCCUACUCCAUUACUUAAUAACAUCACUCCUCAUGAACAAUUGUUUGGAAAACCGUAUGACAUUUCUUUUUUAAAAGUGUUUGGUUGCCUAUGCUAUGCUAGUACCAUUACUGCACAUAGGAAGAAAUUAGAUGAUAGAUCUAUCAAAGGUAUUUUUCUUGGUUUCCCGCAAAAUACAAAAGGUUAUAUUGUCUUAAAUUUAAAGUUUUAUCGCAUAGAGAUAUCAAGACAUGUAAUCUUUCAUGAAACUCAUUUUCCAUAUAAAUUGGAUAGUGGCUUGCCUAGGGACUCCAACACUUUAUCUCUCCCUAUUUCUAACGCAUAUAAUUCUGCUCUUGAUUUUUUUCUGAUACUGCACCUCCUUCCGAGCCGUGUGCCUCUACUCCUGCACCUUCUGUCGAGCUGUGUGCCUCUACUCUUGCACCUUCUGCCGAGCCGUGUGCCUCUACUCCUGCACCUUCUGCCGAGCCGUGUGCCUUAUUAUCCUCUGAUCUUCCGGAAAAUAAUGUCUCUGCUCCUGCAUCCAACACUGCACCUCCACCAACAUCAUCACCUCCUGCACCUCCAGGAAGCACCUCACCCCAAUUUCCAAGAAGAUCAACUCGUCCUCACCGACAACCUGCCUAUCUUGCCGAUUUCCACACAGCAACCAACACUAUAAGUAGUAGAUAUCCUAUUCAUAAUUACUCUUCUAAUUUUAGAAAUAUUAUUUCCUCUAUCAAUUCUCAUCCUGAACCUCGCACCUAUACUGAAGCCUCCAAACAUGCUUCUUGGCAAUCUGCCAUGCAAGCUGAGCUUCAAGCUCUUGCUGCCAACAAUACUUGGCAACUUACCCCUCUCCCUCCAGGAAAGAAAACUAUUGGUUGUAAAUGGGUAUAUAAAAUUAAAUAUCAUUCUGAUGGCACUGUUGAGCGCCACAAAGCUAGAGUUGUUGCCAAAGGGUUCACCCAACUUGAAGGACUUGAUUUCUUAGACACUUUUGCACCUGUUGCUAAACUCACUACCGUCCGCCUUCUCCUUGUUGUUGCCACUACCAAAAAUUGGGUUUUAAAACAACUUGAUGUCAAUAAUGCCUUUCUUCACAGUGAUCUCUAUGAAGAGGUAUACAUGACCCCCCCACCUGGUCUCUCUCUUCCUUCUCCCCAGCACGUCUGCAAGCUUCAACGGUCUUUGUAUGGUCUUCGUCAAGCUGGUCGUCAAUGGUACGCAAAACUUUCUACUUUUCUUUUAUCAAAUAAUUACUCUAUCUCUGUUACUGACCACUCUCUUUUUCUUAAAUAUAAUAAUGAUAAACUCACUCUUUUUCUUAAAUAUAAUAAUGAUAAACUCACUGUUAUUCUUGUUUAUGUUGAUGACUUGGUCUUGACUGGUGAUGACACGGAGGAAAUCAAUACAAUUACUGCAUCCCUUCACCAUCACUUCAAGAUCAAAAAUUUAGGUAAUCUCACUUACUUUUUGGGACUGGAAAUUGCUCGCAACAGUACUGGUCUUCAUUUAAGUCAACGCAAGUAUACUCUUGAUCUCCUUCAAGAAACUGGCAUGCUUGACUCUGCACCUGUGGCCACUCCUAUGACUCACACCUCCCGUCUCUCUCCGACCAAGACUCACAAAUCUGCCCUUCAAAUAGCUUCCAAUCAAGUUUUUCAUGAACAAACCAAGCACAUCGAAAUUGAUUGUCACCUAGUUCGUGAAAAACUUAACUCUGGUCUCCUCAAAUUGCUACCCAUUACUUCUGCAAUGCAAGUUGCUGACAUAUUCACCAAGUCCCUUGCUUCCGCACAGUUCUCUACUCUCAAAUCCAAGCUGGGCCUGACAAAUAUCUACUCCCCAGCUUGAGGGGGUGUCAACAUAUUUAAUUUUCCAUUUUAAAUUAUUGGGCUUUGUUUGUUUGGCUCAACCUUCCUUUUCUGUUUCCGCUAGGUCUUAAUCUUUCUCUUAUAUAUACACCAUGUAUUUUACUCUAUAAUAUAUAAGUGAAUAAAAUAAAAGUUUAUUUUAUAUUUAGUUUUCUCUACAAUUAGGGUUUAUCAAAACCUUUUGUCUCCGUUACGACUACGUUCGUUACAUUAAAGCAUCACAUCAGGGCAAGGAAUAUUCAUCUUCAUUUACUGUAAUAAUAACCAAAAUAAAUUAAUACAAUAAAUUAUUAAGUAAAGAUAAAAUGGAAAAAAAAAUAAGAGCAGUUAAGAGGAGAAUAAGAAAUGACACAAUGACCAUAAUACAAUAAUAAAAUUAAAUAUUAAUAUAAGGAUAAAAUAGAAAAAAAAAUUAAGAGUAGUUAAGAGAGGAAUCCCCUUUAUAUAUAGGUAUAAAUAUUACAAAUAAGUAAGAUAACCGUUAUAUCACUGUCAAUAUAAAAAUAAUUAAAACUUAUGGAAUUGAAAGAUAUAAACAUUUUUUAAUACCAUUAAAACAGAAUUUUUUAAUAGAGAUUCAAUUUGAAAAUACCUAAAUUAAUGAGGAGUUUAAAACUUAAUUAAAUCUAGAUUUUAAUUUCACAAGUAUUUUUUUAUAAAUUUAAAAUAUAUACACGUAAGUUUAAUUUUCAUUUAUUUUAUAAAUAAUUAUUUUCUUUUUAUCAUUAAUUUAAUUAAUAUAAAUGUGUGGAUACAUUUAACGUACCAUUAUAAACUCUUCAAUAUAAAAAACAAAGUUGUUGUGACAAAGAAUUUAGAGUAUCUAUUUUCUUGAAAAAAUCAUUUAAUGUAAAAUAUUUGGAUUAAAGCUUACUAAAUAUUACUCUUUUGGUCAUGGAAAAGUUAUGCAAUCCAACACAUGUAAAAUAGAAAAGACAAGUAUUGUCUACACAAAAAUUGUAGAAUGUCACCAUGCAUAUUCAGGUAGAAUAAGUUCAUGAUUCCGCAUUUGCAAACAUUGAAACAAAAUAAUAAAUUUAGUAACCCAUUUGUUCUAACUUUAUAGAUGUAAAAUAUUUAAUAGAGAAAAACAAGUGAAAAAUAUUAUAGAUGUUUUUCUACGUAAAAUGACAAACAAGGUGAAUAUAAAACAAAAUUUUAUUAUAUAUACAUCACUAAAUAGUAUGCUUCACUAAAGGAUCAAUUGCAUGUAUACUUAUACUUUACAUGAAAUAAUUAGGAGAACAUGUUCAAUUCAUUCGAUGUCGAGUUUGUUGUUUCAACAUCUGUACUCAUUUCAUCUAGAAAUAAAGUAGGUUUUGGAGGUAUUUCCAAGUCUUCAAUGUCUCCUUCAAGCAUUUCCACUACUCUAUUCAUUGAGGGUCGAUUGCUUGGUUUCAACUGUAUGCACCAAAGAGACACUAUGAUCAUUUUCUUUGCUAUUAUCUUUUCCUCUUCAGUCAAAUCUUCCAUAUCUAUAUCUUCCUCUUCUUCGAUAUGAUCAUAGAUCCAAAUUGGAAAGUAAAGUUGACUUGAGUGGUCUACAUGGGGAUUUAGAUUCUUCCUCCUGCUCGCCAUCUCCAUCAAAAGCAUUCCAAAGCUAUAAACAUCAGCUUUAUGGGAUAUUCCUCCAAUAUUUUUGUAAAAUAGUUCUGGAGCCAUAUAUCCAAUGGUUCCUCUUGCUCCAGUCAUUGUGACAAUACUAUUAUCUAUUGGAUUUAACUUUGCCAAUCCAAAGUCCGAAAUCAUAGGGAUGAAGUUUUCAUCUAGCAAGAUGUUAUGAGGUUUGAUGUCAAAAUGCAAAAUCUGCAUCUCACACCCAUGGUGGAGAUAAGCAAUCCCACGAGCCACUCCAAUUGAUAUAUUAUAUAUCUUUUCAUAGCUUAAAUGUAUAUUUCUCUCUUUUGAGAAAAUAAAUUUAUCAAGAGAUCCAUUGGACAUAAAUUCAUAAACAAGAGCACGCUUUGAGCCACUAACACAAAAUCCAAUUAACCGUACCACAUUUUGAUGAUGUAUUCUUCCAAUGGUUGCAACUUCAUUGAUAAAAUCUUGUCCAUUUCCUUUGGAUUUGCCUAACAUUUUGAUGGCCACAAAAGGUCCACUAAGUAACUUUGCCUUAAAGACAGAGCCAAAUCCUCCUUCACCUAACUUCUCUUUGAAACCUGCCGCCAUCUUCUUAAUUUCCUUGUAUGAGUAUCUAAUAGGUGCCAAGCUAUUUUGUUCAAGAUAAUUUUCAAUAUUUUCAUACAGUGACAUAUGUCUUUUUCUCCAUUUAUAUAUAAAAAUAACAAUUAUGAAUGGCAAUCCAAACAAAACUUUGUAAGCCCAUCCUAUAGAGAUACAUAUGAGAAUACCUGCAAUAAAUUUUUACUUGAGUGAUUACGCUAGUAAUGUAAUGCACUAAAGUAUUUUGUAAAUUUAGAGACCAAAUUUAGAAACUAAAUAAUUGGUAGUUAAAACAUUGGUUGUUAAUUAGAUACCAAUUUAGAAACUAUUUAACAAUAAUAGAAACUAAUUUAGAAACCAAUUUUGUUUUUAGUUUCUAAAAUGGUUUCUAAUUUAAUUACUAUUCCAACUAAUUAUUUUGGUCUAUAAAAAUUGGUUUCUAUUUCAUGAUUUUCUUGUAAUGUGCUGUCUACAACAAAAUAUUUUACUUGAGUGAAUAAACAUCAAUGUAAAGAGUCAUUCGAUUGCACCGUUAAUGUAAAAUGCAAUAAGCUAUAUAUUAUUUGAUUAAAGAAAAACAUCAAUUUGAUUCCAAAUUUAUAUGUACGCAUCCAUUUAGAUAGCAAUUUUUUUUUAAAAAAAGGUAAAUUUUAGUUUCUGAAAUAAAUAUCAUUGGAUUUGGUCGUGGGAUUUAAUGUGAAUCUAAGAACAAAUUGACUAAAGCUUGUCAAAAUUAAAAACUAUUUUUUUUAAUAAUUUUGUGUCAUGUGGGUUAAAACCAACAAUUAUGCAAACUUUACAGGGACUACUUUAUUGUUAUAUAUUAUUUAAAUUCUCUAUACUAUGCUUCACAUAUUACGAAAUCAUUUGUUAAAAUUAUACACCUAAAUAUAAUUAAUCUAUAUUGAAUACAUUUCACAAAGUUGUAUUUUCGUUAAUAAAUUAAUAUUAACAAUCUCACGUAUGUAGUGAUGUUUUAUUAUAUAAUUAAUUAAUUUAAAACUACAUAUAUUUACAGAAAAAAUAAAUUAUGUACAACCAAGUAUGCUAUGAAUAAGAAGUUCAUAAUGUACCAAAACCAAUUCUUACUACUAUUAUGCUAUAUCAAGUUAUUUACUAUUCCUAUAAGAAUUGUUAUUGAAACAAUGUGGUAUCAAAUAUAUAAAACAAUAGUUUGUAUCAAGAUAGUGAAUUUUUAAACUACUCAAUCUCACAUAAUUUGUUUGAUAAUACGAGGUUUUUCAACACUUAUAUAUUAUGAUUUGAUCUUAUUUUUAAUCAAUGAAGAUCUUCAACACACCUCCUUCUGAGGACACGUUCGAAUCAAAGACAUCAAGCGUGAAAAUCGAGGGGAACCCAAUAACAAGUGGCACGAUAAGUUAAAUCUUGAUUGAUAUAAAUUCUUAAUAUUAAUACCUUAUUAGGAUAAUAAGUUUAAGUCUAACUCAACCUCACAAAAUUGACUCAGUAAAAUGUGGUUUGCCUCCACUUAUAUACUAUAAUUUAAUCGUAUUCUUCAGUUGAUGUGAAAUCUCCAACAUAUACUAUAAUUUAAUCGUAUUCUUCAGUUGAUGUGAAAUCUCCAACGGUUUAGUUAUAAUUUAUGGUCAAAUGUCCAAAACAAUUAUCAUCAUUGAAAAUAAUAAAUGAUGAUGGCUAAUAUAUGCACAUUGUGUCGACGCAAAUCGUGUCAUUUUGCAGUGUGUUUCUAAUGUUUUAUUCUUCUCCAUUGUGUUGAUCCCAUCAUAGCCACUCCUUCGCAUUUGUGCUAGUAAGAAAAUUUUAUUUUUACGUCAAUUACAUUAACCUUAUAUAAAUACCUCUUGCACUCUUCCCCACCUUUAGAAUAUUUUCUACAUAUUAUACUCUUCCAACCUUCAGAAGUCUUUCUAUGCUUUCUACAUCCUUUUGUUUUAAUUGUUGAUAGUUUUCAUACUUAACUCGUUGAAAGCUCCUCAUUCUCAUCAGAAUUUAAUUCAUUUUUAUUUAAGAGGGUUCCUUGCAUGAUGAUAGGAUGAUGUUCAAAUCAUUAAAGUUGAGGGUAUCCUUUCUCAAGUUUUUGCACUCAGUGAUGCAAAUUAAGUGUCUUAGAUACUUUGAUGUUUUAUUUUAUCUAAGUGUGUUUAGUGAUUUAUAUACUCUUUAACAAUAUUUUUGGACUUUAAUUUUGUAAUUACAUAAAUUAUAUAUUGAUUCAAAGGAUGUCAACUAUAUCUUAUAAGUAAGAUAAUUUGUAAAUAAUUUUGUUUAUGAAUUAUUUGUUUGCCAUUAAAUUGAAUGCAGGUUAAAUGUAUUAUCAAAACUAGGGGUGCCAACAAGGUGGAGUGGGUGCAAGUUUUACUACACUCAUCUAUAUUUCCAAAGUAAAAAUGUAUUCCCCUCCUCCUGUUAUUCUCAUAUGUCUUCAUAUGGUAUAAAAUUUGAGUUUCAUUCUCAUCGAGUAGUAGAUGUAGAUGCACCUGUAUUCAUGCCCAUACUUGUUCUCGCACUAUUGUUAAGUGUUAUAAUUCAGUAAUGUUUCAUACAAAAAGAUAGACACUUAUGGACUUUAUUUCUUAAUAGCAUUAUAAUUCAACCUAUAAUUUUAACAUUUUUACCUAGUUUUGGAUUAUGAGAUUUAUAAGAAUGAUUUAUUCCCAAGUUUGUACCAAUUUCAGGAAUAUAGGGAAGAUGAAGAUAAAAGCGCUAAAGGAGAAUGAACAAAUUACAUACAAGAUGAAAAGACAAAGUUAGAGCAUUGAAAACACACCCAAGAACUCACCCAAACUCGCCCCAGCAAGAUCACUCCAGAGGCAAACUUGUUCAUUGGAGCAAACUUGCCCAAGGCUCGCUUUAGCAAGUUCACUCUAGUGAAGUUGGGCUUUUUCUCAUGAAACCUGCUUAAGCAAGCAAUGUCUUGCUUGAGCAAGAUGUCACUUAACCUACAUCAAAUUAGGUUAAAUAGAAGGCGUAAGGAAGAACCCUAGGAUCAUAGGGAGGAUAAUCAGAGAGAGAAAAUCCUAGCCGUCAAGGAGAAACAUUAUGGAUCUUCUUUUCCUACUUUCCAUGCUUAUAAUGGUUAGUGGCUAAGUCUUCCCUUUGGAAUUGGGAGGAAUCUGUUCAAACUUUUAUGUAUUGAGGUGAUAUUUAUUUAUAAUAUUUUUUUCUUUAUUGAUGAUUGGUAUUGUCAUUUUAUUCUUAAAGUUUGAAUCUUUAUUAAUGAUUUUGAUCCUUAGAUUUGACUGAAAAGUACUUCUAAGCAUCUGACUUAAAUGAUAAUACUUAACAUAUUUGAAUGGUAGGAAUAUAUUUGAAAUUUUAAUUGCUUUUGUUUUUAUAAAUAUACGAGAAAUCGAUAUUUAUGACACAAUCUUAAUAAUUUUGUAUGCAAGGAAUUGAUAUGAAUGAUUUUUAUAUGUGUAUCAAUGUCAAUAAAAAUAUGGAAUGUUAUAUGUUUUUAUUCAUUAAAAAUAUAGACGAGUGAAAAGCAUUAACCUCAAUCCCAAUUGAAUCAUACAAAUCAUUUACUUUAUUUUUAUUCAAUUUCUUACAAAUUCAUGAUACAAACAACCUUUCAAACAAACUUUGACACAUCUUUUCAUAUUGAGUGCAUAUUAUACUUGAGAUUUUAGAAUUGUUUCCUAUAGGUUCAAUAGUCAUUAUUAAGAACAAACUAUUCCUUUUGACUCGAUACACUUGUCGAAUUAAAUAGUCAUCAAUUAUCCCAAAUAUUGAAUAAAUAAUUUUUUUAAAAAGUAAAAAUCACAAUAUAAAAAAUGUUAUCAAAUAACAAUUACUCAUAAUAGAAAUUUCUUAACGACUAUAAUCUAUUGUUUUGCAAAAAUUGAGAGGGAAAAUACCUCGAAGAUUUGAGUCUACUUGUGGGAUAUUUGACAUGGUGAACCGUUGAAAGAGAAAAUGAAAUCUUGUGUAGAAGAAAAAGUUCUUCAAAUAAACGAAAUUAAGAAACAAGAAAAAAAAAAGACAAUUUUUUUUAGGUUACUUAAUAGGGUUUACAGAAUUUAAUUCGAAAAAAUUGAGGUUUACAUUUCUUAAAAUGUAAUUCAUCAUUUGAAGAAAAUCAAAUGAAGAAAAUUGUGUAAUUGAGAUUAUUGUAUAGUAAAAGAAUAAUUUUUUUAAAUGGAAUGAAUCAAAUGACCGACGAGAACAAUAAAAAUAAGUUUGAAUAGGUUGUUUAAUAAAUUAAAUAUAUUUCAGUAAUUUAAAAUAAAAACGGAUACAAGAAUAAAUAGGAAAUCGUAUACAAUACUCAUCUACAUCUCUAUAUCCAAUUUAAAAUAUUAAAUGUUACUCAUAAUUGUGCCAAUCAAUUCGAAAUUAAAAUUUAUCUUUGUCAUCCCUAAACAAAACAAAUAUUAAAAAAAAAAUUUAUACAUUCAACAAUAUAUUUUAGUAUAAUUGUUCUCAUAUAUUAGUUUCACCAACAGUUCAUAUUAUAACCAAUCAUUGAAAGGGUUGAAAAUUUUAAAACUCAAAUAGAAUUAAAAAAUUACAGUUUAAUCAUAAAUAAUAAAUAGUAAAUUCUAAAUCUUAAAUCAUAAACUAUUGUACCUUGAACCGUAGCCAAUUCUUCUAUUUUUAACAACAUUUCUGUCAAUGAAAAUUUGAGAACUACUAAUAGAAGUCUAUUUUUUGUGUAAUUAAAGAAUUUAGAAAUUAAGUUGAUAAAAUCGUACCUCGUAUAUAGAGUUUUAGCACUUCAUGCAGUGUUAGAUUAAAUGAGCCUGAAAUGAAGGAAAUUAUGAAGUUUAGAAUAGUGGUGAUCUCAACAGUUAUUCAAAAGAGACUAUUUUCAUAUUUUGAUAAAGGUUAUAGCGGUCAAUAAGUUUAACAGUUAUUUAUUUUAAAGAAAAUAAAUGUUUAAUUUAAUGUAUACGUUCUUAUAAAUACAUGUAAAAUAUAAAAGAUAAAAGAAAAUUGGUUUACUAAUUGUUUACCACCUUUUCAGUUAAUUUAAAUGUAUAUUUAGAAGAUAUAUAUGUUUGAAACUGUUAUGAAAAAAUCUAAAAAAUUGGUUAAUAUUGGUUUAGGAUUACUCACCUUUGAUGCAUUGAAGCUUCUGGUUAGAAGAGUCGACAUAGCAAUAGCUAUCAUCAUCUGGACAAUGUUUCUGACAGGCGACUUGUAUCCAUGAAAUCUCGAAUCCAUAGGCGAGUGCGGUGUGCAUGGAAGUGUAAGAAUGGUUAUCGAAAGUGGAAAGAGAAGUGGGAGCAACAAGCUUUACCUCACACCCAACUUCUAAGUCCUCUGCUUUUAGGUCUCCACCAAUUGAAUAUGCAUACCCCUUCCCCUCCCACUUCACCCACUCUCCAAUCUCCACAUACUUCUCUUUCUCUCUCACCGAAUGGUUACAAUUCACGAACACUAUAUGCUCGAACGUCAGAGAUUCCCCAUUUUCAUAGACAAAACUGGCUUGGUAUGGACCCGGGUCGUAAAAUGAAGUGUAAGUGUAAGUGUCAGAGAAAUUGGAGCGAGAGAGGAAACGGAGAGGAAGGGAGGAGAGAUUAUGGUGUUGAAGAGCAGGAUCAACCACUCUCACCGUGUAGUUGUUGUAGUUGAUUGACUUCACAUGAUAUUGUGCAGAGUACAGAUACAACACCGUAACAUUAUUCUCACAACCAAGCUCAUACCUUUUGUCACCACACUCUUCUGGGUCGCCUUUUAAUCGAAAUGGAUAGCUGAUGUUGGUGAUAUUUCCACAGGAAGAAGGAGGACAAACGUGUUCUUGGUCAUCCUUGGUAGCAGAAAUAUGGUGGAGUAGAAGUAGCAGUACCACCAACACUGCGCUCUCUCUCCACAUCAUGACUAAACUGUUUCUCACUGAAUUCAAGUGCAAACAAAUCCAAGUUAGAUAUCUAAAACAACGCACACUGAAUAUAUAGCUAUAAAGGACCACAUUUUUCCUUUUAGAAAAGUGUUUGGAGACGUGUGAUACUUAAAACGUAGACUUUGACUCAGAAACCGUGUUUCUAUCUGGUUUCAUAUAUAAGUGCAUGAAUUCUGAUUUAUGUAUUAAUGGUGUUCUUUGAGUUUCUAAAACCAUCCUAAAUUGUUCCUUUUGGAAGCUUAUAUUUCGAAAUAUAAUUUUAAUGACUAUAGAAUUUCUGAGUCCCAAAUAAUGCUUGUUUGGUUAAGAAACUUUAACAUGUGAUUGGUACAUAUUGUUUUGGUGACUUUUUGCCCCAAAGAGGGCCUCAUCUGUUUCCUUGUGCUACAUGAACAUAUUCUUCUUGGACAUGGGAGCAGAAAAGAGUUACGGUGGGCACGAAGUCUGGUAGCAGAAAAAACCACUAACAAUGCCUGACGUUUUCUGUAUGCGUAAAAGGUGAAGGACAGAAAAAUAUGUGGAAGCAAUUCCACACACGUAACCCAAAAUUCCACCAUACUUUUCAACUCGUGCCUUGAAAAGCUCAAUAAUUAAAAGUGCGCUUCGAAGAAUCAACGAAGUCACUCACCAUUAACUAGUUGGUAUUAGUAGAUCAUACUAUGUAAACUCACCAAAGUACUUGAUCACUCAUCAUCAAGGUUCAUUGAUAAAGGUGUAUCCAAGCCAUCAGAACGUGUAUAUAAACUUUACAAGUCUAAAUAAAACAUGUCCAAAAAGAAUCAUUGACAACCGAAUAAAUGGUGUAUUGGGGUACUAUAUGUUCAGAAAGAAUAAAUAAAUGUGAAUCACCUUUAAACAAAUCAAAAAAGAAAAAAUACUUAAUCUCCCCCUAACUGUAACCUCCUACCGACAGUUUUGCAAAACACUUGCAAAUGCCCAAAAAACAACUAAGGAAAACUAACCAACAAUCUAACACAUCAUUUAACUAGCCUCAUACAAACCAAAGAAUUAAGACACUAGUCAAAAUAAGAAAAAACACUCGAUGUUGUCUUGAAAGUAAUCAAAGACCAAACCUUUAACUGAACAAGAGUGAACAAUUCUAACACAUCAACCACAUCACCUUUAAAAAUGACAUUAUUCAUGUGUUUCCAAAUCUCACUUACUACACCAAUCCAAAAUUGCCCCCAAACUUCAUUCACAGAUUCAGAUGCACUACUCAUCAAAAAUUGCAAAAAAUGACAGAAUCAACCAUUGUGUACCACGAACGCUACGCCAAGCCAAGCAAAACACUGAUUCCAAACGAGCCAAGCUAUUCUACACUCAAAAAAUAGAUGAUGACAAGACUCCUCUUCCACCCAGCACAGACUACACAAAAGACUUUCGACCACAACCCCACGCCUUUCCAAAUUGACCCUAGUAGCAAUCUUAUUUAACAACACCCCCAAGAAGUGACAUGUGCUAACGGUAAAGCUUGCAUGGGUUUUAUCCAUUUGGCCUUUAGAACAAACAAAUCUCUUCUAUUUGAACAUCAUUUAUUCCUACACAGGAGUGGCAACAUAUCAAGAGGAUUUAGAAGUGAGUUCCGAUAAUGGAAAAUUAUUCCUAGCUUAUCUAAAGCGUCACCAGUCAUGGCCAAUCAAUUUUCUGUGAGUCUUCCUAUUUUUCCACUUAUUAUUGAUGUGCUAUAUUCUUUUCUAAUUAUAUGGCUUAAAUGUGUGGAUUUAUUUCCUUGACUGUCACUGAUGUGCUCAGCAUGUACUUUUUUUUAAAUGAAUUAUUUUAAAUUAUAUUGCGCACCCUUAAUAGAGUAAGGAUAAUAGGUGGAAUGUAUAUUAAAAUAUAAAUACAAGAUUUUUGCAGUGGAAUGGUUUGUGGCUGAGUUGGUUAGUGAAAUUGUUAGACGAUUAUAUUGAGGGUUGGAGUCAAACAUUCCAUCGAACCACUCUUUAUUGUCUUCAAUUAGCUUUCCAAUAAUUCCAUCUUCCUCACAAGACAAAAGAAUAAACUUCUCCGUGAGGUAUCUUAACCUAACAAAACUGAAACCACCCAAAAUAAAACUCUCUUUAACUGACUGCAAAUUGGAAACCUCAGUAAGUCUUCCGACAAAGCAUUUUUCUAACCAAGAAGAAGACUCAACCUUGACGCUAAACUAAGUAGCAUCCAAAUCCAAGUGAGAACUGCUCAUAUUCUUUCUCAUAACCACCUGCGCAAAUGAUUGUUGUUGUUGCUACUGCACCUUCAGUCUCGAGAUUGAUCAGCUCUCCUCUUAGAAUUCCACUCUUUCCUUGAAGCUUUGUUCCUUCAAUAUUUAGGUAAGCUCACCUAAAGAUUCCACGUACCAAUCCAAAUGGAGUUCAACUUCCUUUCCAUAGAUAAAGCAUUUGUCACUCCUUGAAAUCUAACAAAAUCAAACCGACGAUUUAUUGAAUUGAGCUUUCUUGAGAUGAACACGUCCGAGACUCUUCCACAUCUCUAAAAAUAUUUCCAAAGCUCCUUCCGAAGAAGUCGUUUGGGAAGCUUGUGAAGAAAAACGACGUGUCUGUAAUAGAAGCAGCUCACUCUUUGUAGCUCACCCUCUCUCUAGAUCACUAUCUCUCUACCUACUAGUCGUUCGUACCUCUACACCUAUUCAAGUUACAACUAAAUUAGAAGUAUCUGAAGAUCAAGACAUGUUAUGGUAGAAAUAUUUAAUUUUUGCUACCUCUUAUUCGACUAAGGCACAAAGGCCAGGAAACAAGGAUUGAGACCAACCUCACAGAAUCUGAGACCAAUAUGAUAUCUUGGGUCCUCAUUCAAAAUGCUAACCUAUUUGCAUGGACAUUCGAAUACAUGUUCUGGGUAGACCUGAGGUGAUCUUGCACAAGUUAUUUUCGUACAAGGAAGCUCGUCAAAGGUUGAAAAAGAAGAGAAAAUUAAAGGAUGAGAAGCGAAAAGGAUUCAAAAAGGAGGUUGAGAAGCUUAUCAAUGCUAGCUUUAUCUAAGAAGACAUGGUUAACAAACAUAGUUAUGGUAAAAAAACUAAUGAAAAAUGGAGAAUGUGCAUAGACUACAUAGACCUCAAGAGACCUCAAGGCAUAUCCUAAAGAUGUUUAUCCUUACCAAUUAGUUAAUGGCGCAUAAGAACAUAAGGUCCUCAACUUCCUAAACGCCUACUCAGGAUUAACCAAAUAUGCAUGCAUUCAAGAGAUAGGAAGAAGACAAUUUCUAUGACCAACAACACCAACUAUUUUUCUCCAAGUUUAAUUCAACUUUCUAUGAGCAAACAACAUCAAUUUCUCUGGAAGCUUAUGCACUAGAAAUGGAUGCUUUUGCAACUCCAACAUCUAAUGCAAUUUGUAACUCACAACUAUAAAAAUAAAGACUUAUUCCUAAACAUGUUUAUGAUAAUAGUCGCAAAGACAUUUACAACGCUAGUUAAUCAAUAUAUAUCAUUAAGCUUUAUUGGAUUAUGUUUGUUGUAAAUGUUGACUUCUUGAUAAGUGUCUAAUUUCAGUAAUAUUUUAUAUUAAAAUAUAGACACUUAUGAGGAUUUAUUUCUAAUUUACAUAUAAAAUAAUUCCUAAUUUAUGAAUUUAUAUCUUUUUACAUUUUUUAUGAUCUUUAUUUGAAUAAGAGCAUUUUAUUCCUAAAUUUGGUAUUAAUAACAGGUUUCUAGGGAGGAUUGAAAAUUUGGAGUAAAGGGGGAUGAUUUAAGUUAAAAAGAGAAAGCUGGAAGGUCCCAAAAUGGAGAAAAGUGUUGAAAAAGCCAAUUUUGCAAAAGGAGUAUCUCGCUCCAGGACUGUUUUCGGAAAUCAACGCUUUUCUCGCUCAAGCGAUAAUGCGUCACAUAGAUUGGGCCUUUUUUAUGUUUUAUCACUUAGCACAUCAGCGCGACACAAGAAGCAACUUAACCCUAGCAAAUUAGGUUAAAUAGGGGGAUAGAGGUUGAACCCUAGUGAAUAUUGAGAGAAAAACACCAUUGAGUGAAUUGUAACCAAUUGGGAGAAUGGAAGGUGCUAGAAGUAUGUGUGGCUAAUUCUACUCUUUGGGAUUGGGAGUAAUCUGCUCGAACUCUUAUGUGUUGAGGUGAUAUUUAAUAUGAUAUAAUAUUUUGUUCUUGAUUGAUUAUUGGUAUUUUUGUUUUACUUCUAAAUUCCCGUGACAAAUUGAGAAUCUUAAAUCUGACCGAGAGGUAUUUUUAGGAUUCUGACCUAAACAACAAUACUUAACAUAUUUGAGUUCUAUAGAUAGACUUAAAAUGUUAAUUGCCUUUAACGUCUAAGUAUGAUUUCUAAGUUGUUUUCAUAAGUAUGCGAGAGAUCGAUAUUUAGAAAUAUAUUCGAGAGAUCGAUUUAGAUUAAUUUUCUAUGGGCAACAAUUUCUAUCAAAGAACUUAAUAUUGACAUUCUAAUCAAAAUACAUGAGAGUGAGAGAGAUGAAACCUAAUCCCUAUUUUUCCAACUUGAAGCAACCAAUUCUUUAACUAUUUUCUCGUUGAUCACUGGCAACACAACCAAUUUCAACACUCUUUUUAUUGUUCUGUUUGAUAUUUAACGAUUAUUGUACUUGAUAAUUCACUGUUCUUUAUGGGAUCGAUAUCCGUCCUUAGGAACAAUUAUUACUUUUGACAAACGCGAUGCACUUGCCGUAUAAAGUCAUCACUUGUCCUUUUUGUUUCUCAUUAAACUAAGGACAUCCCCUAAUUUUAUUUUUUUUUAUUAUUAUUACUAUUUAUUUUUAUUAGUAUUAUUGUACCGGUACUGGGCGAGGUUGGGACCCACCUGGCUGCCCGAUGCCCAGUCAACCUGGCCGAGAGACUGAGAGGCCGAGACCUUUUGGAGACUCUGCCGAGAGACCGGGAGGCCGAGACCUUUGGAGACUUGGCCGGGAGACCAAGAGGCCAAGACCUUUGGAGGUUUGGCCGAGAGACCGAGACCUUCGAAGACUUAACUGAGACGGCCGAAGACCACAGGUAUGUGGCCGAUGGCCGACCCUCAUGAUGAGAAUUUGGCCGAUGGCCGAACCCCAUUACAAUUAAUGCUCAAACCGAGAUCAAUGAAGCUAAUCCAUCAUCAAGAAUUAGCUAAUGCAACCCUAAGCGAUAUCCACCUCAAUAAACGGGCCCAACAAGGUAGGCCCACUAGAAUAAUAUAAAUAGCACGCAUUCCAAGGAGUAAGGUAUGUCAUUUAUUACUGUUCACCUACCUGAGAGCUGACCACCUGCUUUACUGACUUGAGCGUCGGAGUGCCUUCGUAGGUACCCCACCAUCCGGUGUUCACCCGACGACCGAGUGCCGAGUGUCGAAGGAUAAGCAGGAGGACGAGAAGAAUCCCAGUUCAUCACCCAGUCACCUGCCCGACCGAAGGAAGGAGAAGAAGACUUCAACAGUUCUCUAGGUCCCAUCUCCCUAACAGGAACAAUUAUUAUUAUUCUUAUAUGACACCACAAAUUCUUACUCAAUACCUGCUGCUCAAAAUCUUGAAUUCAUUAUACGAGCACCAAGUGUUAUUUAUUCAAACUUUAUUAGUGUAGGUUUAAAGAGUUAUUUAGACAAUCUUGAAAUGACUUCUUUUCAAUGUGGCGAUAAAAGUGACUCAAAAAGGGAUCAUAACCUGACAAUCAACAUGGUGGAAGAAAACCUUCAAUUAAAAUGUAAAUUCUAGAAGAAUUACCAAUUUGUUAGGGAUGCAGUCUCAGUCAAACAAUAUUUAAUGGUAUGGUAUUUUAUGAAUGAAUAAUCUUUAAUAUUUUAUUAAUUUAUUUUAAUAAAGUCAAUAAUAUAUAUUACCAUAAACUUUAAUAUUUUAAUUAUAUUCAAGUGUUACUAAUAAAUAUUAUGAGUUCAAUGGAAGAAAAGUUCCUUCAAUUCAACUAAUUGGAGUGCAAUUAUGUAUACUUUUCUAUUCAUAAUUUUUUAGUUCUUGGAUUAAACUUGUAGAUACAUGACUAAUCUCUUAGUUUUUAUUUUGUUCAUAAAUAUUUGAAUCCUAUUCCACUUUAUUUAUACUUAUAACUAACAAUUUUAUCAACAAUAAAAAAAAUUAAAUUAAAUUUGAAUUCUCUAUUCCACUUUAUUUAUACUUUUAACUGACAAUUUUAUCAACAAUAAAAAAAAUUAAACUAAAUGAAUUAGUUGAAGGUGAUAUACAAAACUUUACUUUGUACCAAAAGCCUACUAAAAAAAAUGCAUAUGGCUCACAUAAGAAACAAAAAAGAACCUUAGGACAACCCAAUUGGAGCUUUGCCUGUAUGCUACAUAUUCAACAUACCACAGUGGUAAGAAACAGUAGAAAAAAAAAAAGAGUAUCAGGUCUUAGCCCUACAAAACUAGAAGGUCUUUUUCUCCCUAUAUCUUUUGGAAUAUUUUAAAUAUGCAUUAAUCAAUAACAAAAUCAUUUAGCAUUUGAGAUUAUGGAUCAUAAAUUCUAUUUGAUAGUUGUGCUAGAUGUCCUUAGCUAUAGGUCCAUACCAGCCCCUUUGACUCAGCCUAUUAGACAAACAUUUGCAAAUUCUAAACUUAAUUGCUGAAAAACAGCAUUUCAAUAAAUUAAUAUUUUAUUCAUUUUCAUUUUAUUUUUAUUUUUAUUUUUUAGUUUAAAAAUAUAUAUUAAUAUAAAUGUUUAUCAAAUAUAUUUUUUUACUAUGUUAAAGAAACUUUUUCCUUUGAAAUAUAAAAAUAGUAUUAAGUUGAUAUUAAUAUCUUACCAAUAUUUAAGAUACAAUGAGUUCAUUUUUUCAGAUAAAAGAAGCAUAAACUUUAUGCACAUUCAAUGCUAACAAAUUACACUCUUACUUCUGUCAAUGAGACCAUCACUUUAUUCAGCCAUCACACACUUCCAUUUCAUGUUUGUAUUUCAAAGUUAAACAUAUUAUCCUAAACCCUAAACUCCUAUAGUCACAAACUAAUGAGUUCACGAAGAAACUUCAAUUCUCUCUUCACACAAGCAUGUUCUUAAUCCCAUAUUUUAUAGGCCUUAUCACAACUUAAUUAGUGGCCUCGUAUUUGUUGAAACUGUAACAAAAACAAAAUCGUCAACUUUUUAUUUCCGUCAAACGUUAGAAAUUAUGCUUCAAGUACUGAUUCAAAUAAGCGAAUUUGUGAUUUUUCUUCAAUUUCUUGACUUCACGUGAUUAAUUAAAUAAACUAGUAGAAUCCAAAAUUCACUUUUCAACAAAAAAAAAUAUUUGCGUCUGUUUAAGAGAUGUCACUCUUUUACUUUUAAUAAAAAAAAAUUAAAAUUUCUUAGAGUCCACUAAGCUAAUGUACAUUUUUUAUUUAUAAAUAUAGAUUUUACAUAAGAUUUCAAAUUGUUUUACAAGCUUUAAUUUAUUAAAAUAUAUAAAUCAUUGGAAUCAAAUUAAACUUGACUAAAUCUAUAAUAAUAAUUUAGGUCGAUCUAAAUUUUGAAAACUAAAUUCAUGUUUACAAUCUUAAUAUUAUAAAACUAUAAAUCAUGAUGCCUUAAAAGCAUUCAUUUUGUAUUUAAUCAAUUGUUUUAACCAAUAUUAAUCAAAUAAACUAUCAACUAUUAAUGAAAUAUUUAGAAACAGAUAAAUAAUAGUUUUCUAAACAUAUUUAUAUAAAUCAAAUUAACAUAACAUAUGUUUAAAAUAUAAAUUGUUUGAAUGUACAUGACAAUGUUUGUAAUUAUUAUAUAUAUUUUGACAAAUAUGUUGAAAUGUGACAACUCAUAUAUUUAUUUUCUUUAAACUAAAAAUUAAUAACAAAUAUAUUAAAAAUUACAAUAUAAAAAAUUUAAGUUAAAUCCAUUUACUACAAGAUGAUAUUGUUGUGGAACUAAAGGAUAUAAAGACUUUGCAUAGAUACCUGCAUGGAAAGGAAACCACUAGUUUCUGGGCAAAUGAAAAUAAAUGUAGAUGGAAGCUCGGAUUAACUAAUUAUUGUGACAGGGGAAUAGGGAUCAAAAUUCUACGUAGGUCGUUGGAUUUUCUUCUUGUAAUACAUCGAAGCAAAAAUUUUGGUCAUUUUGCAUGCAAUUCAUGUAACUAUUUUAGAAUAUAACAUGUCCUUGUUUAGUAUAGUUCACUACAAAAUAAUAUAAACAAGUGAAACAUCAUUGAUAACCAAGAGUUUAAAAUAAGAAGAUGGAUGCAAAUAAGUACUCUUGUGUAUCGUGGAAUAGCAUAUACUUUACCAGUAAAUAGUUUUAACAUUGAAUAUAUCUAGUUAGAGUUGAUUGUUUGAUCAUCUAUCAUUGUUUCAUCUUCUGGAAAUAAAAUAGGUUUUGGAGGUAUUUCUAAGUCUUCAAUAUCCCCUUCAAGCAUUUUCACUACUCUAUUCAUUGAGGGUCGAUCAUUUGAUUUUAGUUGUAUACACCAUAGUGCAACUAUGAUCAUCUUCUUUGCUAUUUUAUUUUCCUCUUCUGUCACAUCUUUGAUGUCUACAUCUUCCCAUUUCCUAAUAUGAUCAUAAAUCCAAAGGGGAAAGUAAAGUUGACUUGAGUGGUCUACAUGGGGAUUUAGAUUCUUCCUCUUGCUCGCCAUCUCCAUCAAAAGCAUUCCAAAGCUAUAAACAUCAGCUUUAUGGGAUAUUCCUCCAAUAUUUUUGUAAAAUAGUUCUGGAGCCAUAUAUCCAAUGGUUCCUCUUGCUGCAGUCAUUGUGACGAUACUAUUAUCUAUUGGAUAUAACUUUGCCAAUCCAAAGUCAAAAACCUUAGGGAUGUAGUUUUCAUCUAGUAAGAUGUUAUGAGGUUUGAUGUCAAAAUGCAAAAUCUGCAUCUCACACCCAUGGUGGAGAUAAGCAAUCCCACGAGCCACUCCAAUUGAUAUAUUAUAUAUCUUUUCAUAACUUAAAUGUAUAUUUCUCUCUUUUGAGAAAAUAAAUUUAUCAAGAGAUCCAUUGGGCAUAAAUUCAUAAACAAGAGCACGCUUUGAGCCACUAACACAAAAUCCAAUUAACCGUACCACAUUUUGAUGAUGUAUUCUUCCAAUGGUCGCAACUUCACUGAUAAAAUCUUGUCCAUUUGUUUUGGAUUUGCCUAACAUUUUGAUAGCCACAAAAGGCCCACUGCACAACUUUGCCUUAAAGACAGAGCCAAAUCCUCCUUCACCUAACUUCUCUUUGAAACCUGCAGCCAUCUUCUUGAUUUCCUUAUAUGAGUAUCUAAUAGGUGUCAAACUAUUUUGUUGAAGGUAAUUUUCAAUAUUAUUAUACAUAGACAUAUGUUUGUUUCUCCAUUUACAUAUAAAAAUAAAAAUUAAGAAAGGCAAUCCAAAUAAAACUUUAUAAGCCCAUACCAUUAAAAUAGGUCUGAGAAUACCUGCAACAAUGUAUUUGUUAAAGUAAAUUUCGUUCAUAAAAUCCACACAUUACAUAUCCAUUUAGUUAGUAACAUUACAAAAAGAGUAAAUUUAAUGUCUAGCAUAAACAAUUAUUAAUAAAUUUCAUUUUUGAUGUUGCUCUCUAUAAAUAAAUUUGUCUGUAACUUUAAUGUGUCUUAAGAUCUAACUCAGUGAUGGUUGUAAAAAAUAAAAAAAAUAAUAAAAACAGAUUUUUUAAAUAAUUUAUUAGUUUCUAUAAACUUUUUAAAUUCAAUUUAUGUUCCUCUAACAUUUUUAACGUAGUGAAAAUCACAAUAUUUUAUCUUUAAUGCAAUUAACAUAUAUUAGCGGUUAUUGACCUUUAUUUUUUAUUAAAAAAAUUAUUUUUUAAAUUAGAUGAAGAAAAUAUAAGAAAUUUUUUUAGACAAAUUAAAAAUGAAUUUUAGAAAAUGUGGAGUACAUGAUUAAAGAGGAGGUAAAUUAAGAUGAUAAAAUAUCAAUUUCAGAAUGUGUUGACAAAAAAGAGAGUGAGAUAAUAAAGGUUGUGUUCGAUUAUAAUAAAUCACGUGGAAGAUGAUAAUGUCAAUGUAAGAAAAAAUGGACUAAUGGUUGUCCAAAUUAAAAACUAAAUUUAUUAUAAUUUUUGUUUCAUGUGGAUUGUGUAGUUUAUGGUGUGCGUUCUGUAAAGAUGAAAUAGAGACAACAAAACAUCUGUUUUGUAGAAUGUAAAAUUAUUAGUAAGGAUAAAUGGAUAGGAGUUGAUUCGGUGUCAUAAUGAUACUAAUUAAGUUUAACUAUUAAUAGUUUUACUCAGUUUACUUAGAGUUGUGGGUUAGAUGACAGGUAUACAACAGGCUCAUUUAAACUAGUUGUGUAUUAUGAAAAAUUUGGAAAAGGAAACUAGUAUCACAACUCAUUUUGGUACGUCUUGUUCGCAAAUGGAGGCUCAUUACUCUCUCAUAUUUUUUAUAAACGAGUUGAGUUGUAUCAUCUUUCAAAUGUUUUAUUUAACUUUAUUAAUUCUUUGCUAAUACAAAAAAUAAACAUAGAUCAAUGAAGAUGCAAAAGUUCUUACUUGUUACAUCAGUUAUUAGUUCUUCCAGUAAUCCUGUAUCACCCAAAAACGAAGGAAAAUAUCAAUUUCAGAACUGUUCUUAUCUGAACAAUUCACCUGGAGUUGAGGAUCCAUUCAUGCUUGAAAGAAUGAGUAAAGUUUUGAAGAAGUCCUAACAAAGCUUGUGAUAAUGGAAGAAAAUAGCAUGGCAACAAUCAGGAAUAUAGAGAUCCAAAUGGGAAAGGUGGCCAAACAAUUUGAAGAAAUACAAAGUGGUUAGUUUUCAGUUGACAACCAAACCAACCCAAAAGAGCAUUGCAAUAAGGUAAUAGCUGAAAAAGAAGAUGAGACUGAGGAGUUAGAGAGAGAAAUGAAAAGAAGUGAGGAAGAAAAAAAUAAAAAUAAGGAGAGAAGUGUUCUUGAAAAAGAUUUAUCAUAUCCUCAUCCUCCUUCAAAAACAGAGAAGGACAUAAAAUUUUUUGAUAAAUUGUUCCAUAGGAAUUAUUUUGCAGGAAAUCUGAAGCAAGAUUCAACAUUUGAGAGAUUUCUGAAGAAUAGGAGCUAUAUUGAAGAGAGAAAUAGAGAGAUGGAGGCUAGAUGCAGUGUCAUGACUCAAAGGGACUUGCUUCAAAAUUCCAAGAACUUAGGAGGUUUUAAUCUUCCCGUGUCUAUAGGUGCUUUAUCUGUGGACAAGGUUGCAAUGUAUUUAGGCGAUUUGGAGGUUCAAUCCACCAAGAUGCAAUUGGCAGACAGAUCCAUUAAAGAUCCUUAUGGUGUGGUUGAAGAUGUUCUUGUAACAAGGAAGAAUGCAUACAACAUGAUGCAACAAAGAGAGUUGUCCAUCUUGAAAUAAACAGGCGUCAAGCUAAAUGAUGUUAAACGAGCGCUUACUGGGAGGCAACCCAGUCCACAUUUUAGUUUUAUGUUGUUUUAUUACCUUUGCUGAUUUUAUUUAAAAUAAAAAAUAAAAAGUAAAUAAUAUAAAAAAAAAUCAUAUAUGCCUCCUAAUCAUUUUGCAGGUUAUGUAUUUUUGACCUGGGGACAGGUUCUAUUAUUCAGGGGGCAGAUCCAGCAAAUGAAGCAAGACCGUAGAUAAAAAUUUUAACAAAAUGCUGGAUGACUUCUUAAGAAUAGAGGAUUGAACAAAAAUAUGUUUUUAUCUCUCUAAUUCUCUUUUCUUUUCAGUUAUUUGGAUUUUUUCUUAUUUUAUUUAUUUUAUUUUUCAGUUAUUUUGUUUUCUGUUUAUUUGCUUAUUUGUUUUUAUUGCUUAUUUUGAAUAAAUUUCCUGUUUUAUUAGUUUGGUAAUUUUAAGUCUUGAAUUAUCUUUCUUGACUAAAUUUCAGUUUUAAUUUGUUUGUUUUCUAGUUUUUUUUUUCAAAUUAAAAAAAACUAGAAUAUUAAUUUUGAAUUGUGGAAAAAAGAAUUUGUGUUUAAAUAUUAAGUAGUGAGAUGAAUUAGACACAGGUUAGAAAAGAAAAUAUGAUUGAAUCCCUAUUCAAAUGUAGUUAAAAUUAUGAUACAUGAAAAUUUAACAGGAUGAUUGAUUAGGACAGAUAAUGACAAGACAAAAAGGAAUGAGACCAUUUAAACCAAGUGAGUGAGUGAACCUUAAACAGUUUUGAGGUUUUACUGAUGAAUUGACAGUUGUGGUUGCUUAAUUUUUAUUUUUGUUGCAUCAUAAAAGAGCAUGAAGAUGAUUGAGGCAUUUGUUUGUGUUAAUUAGGAGCCAGGGCCAAAAUGCCAACCUUUAUAUCAGAAUUCCAUUUUUUUAUAUCCCCUUUGGGCCAAGAAAUUUUUUGUUAAUAUUGCACCUUAACCUUUAUUGAUAUAAUUUUCUACCCUUUAGCAUGUCUAAGGAAGGAGAACAUAGAUGCAAUACAUAUAGAAAGGGGAAUGGUUGGUUCUAAUUUUGAAAGUUCAAAAAGUUGAAAAUAGAAAGAAUCUUUUCCUAUUAUUGAAAACAAAACAAAAAAGAAAGAGAAACAGAAGAAGAAAAAGAAAUAAAAAAAAAGAAAGAUAGAUAGAAAAAAAUUUCAUGAAAAUCAUGAAAAGAAAGAAAAUGGGGAAAAAGGUGACAUCGAAAGAAAGUGGUAAUUAGAUAACAUAUAUGUUCUCUAUAAUUGAAUUGUAGGUAUGUUCUUCUUCUUUAAGAUGUGCAUUUUGUUAUCUAAGAAAAACCAAUAUUUUUUGGAAGCCCAGCCUCAUUACAACCCUUUAAAAGACCUCAAGAUUCAGGUUUCUAAUAUGUUUGUGAUUUGAAGAUGAAAUGAAAAGCAACUGUGAUUUGUUAUGAUUCAGUGAAAAUAGAGAGAAACACUUACCUGUGAGCAUAUGAGAAGACAUUCCUUGAUGAAUUGUCAUUUAUUUGUUUUGAUUUGAUCCUGGAAAUUGAUUGUGUCUAUAAUUUUAUAUAUUUGAAUUUGGAAGCAUCAUAAGUUUCUAAUUUGAUCUGUUGUUUAGUGAAUUAAGCUGUUUGAUAUUUAAAUUCAAAUAUAUUCAUUUACUUUGCUUGAGGACAAGCAAGAUUCUAAGUUGGGGAGAGUGAUAAGUGUCUAAUUUCAGUAAUAUUUCAUAUUAAAAUAUAGGCACUUGUGAGGAUUUAUUGCUAAUUUAUAUAUAAAAUAAUCCCUAAUUUAUGAAUUUAUACCUUUUUACAUUUUUUAUGAUCUUUAUUUGAAUAAGAGUAUUUUAUUCCCAAAUUUGGUGUUAAUUGCAUAUUUCUAAGGAAGAUUGGAGAUUUGGAUUAAAGAUGAAUGAUUUGAGCUAAAAAGAUAAAGAUAGAAGGUCCCAGAAUGGAAAAGAUGCAAAGAAAGAUUGGGCCUUUUUUAUGUUUUAUCAUUUAGCCCAUUAGCGCGACACAAUAAANNNNNNNNNNNNNNNNNNNNNNNNNNNNNNNNNNNNNNNNNNNNNNNNNNNNNNNNNNNNNNNNNNNNNNNNNNNNNNNNNNNNNNNNNNNNNNNNNNNNAACACCAUAGAGUGAAUUGUAACCCAAUUGGGAGAAUGGAAGGUGAUAGAAGUAUGCGUGGCUAAUUCUACCCUUUGGGAUUGGGAGUAAUCUGCUCAAACUCUUACGUAUUGAGGUGAUAUUUUAUAUAUUAAUAUUCAGUUCUUGAUUGAUUAUUGGUAUUGUUGUUUUACUUUUAAUUUUCCGUGACAAAUUGAGAAUCUUAAAUCUGACCGGGAGGUAUUUUUAGGGUUCGGACCUAAACAACAAUACUUAACAUAUUUAAGUGCUGGGAAUAGACUUGAAAUGUUAAUUGCUAUUAAACGUCUGAACUUCGUUCUAAGUUGUUCUUAUAAUUAUGUGAGGGAUCGAUAGUUAGGGNNNNNNNNNNNNNNNNNNNNNNNNNNNNNNNNNNNNNNNNNNNNNNNNNNNNNNNNNNNNNNNNNNNNNNNNNNNNNNNNNNNNNNNNNNNNNNNNNNNNAUGCGAGGAAUCGAUAUAAAUGAUUUUUAUACGGGCAUCAAUUUCAAUUAAAGAACUUAAUAUUGACAUGCUAAUCAAAAUACAUGAGAGUGAGAGAGAUGAAACCUAAUCCCUAUUUUUCCAAUUGAAACAAUUAAUUCUUUGUCUGUUUUCUUAUUGAUCAUCGCCAACACAACCACUUUCAAUAACUUUUAAUUGUUUUGUUCUAUAUUUAGCGAUUAUUGUACUUGAUAAUUAAUUGUUCCUUGUGGGAUCGAUAUUCGUCCUUAGGGACAAUUAUUACUUCUGACAAACGCGGUGCACUUGCCGUAAAAAGUCAUCAGAUGUAUGGUUAGGAAAUGUCAACUUAAAGACAUUGUUCCCUAGAUUGUAUUUUGUGUCGUUGAACCAAGGUCAGAAGGUGGAGGAGGUAGGUAUGUGGGACGACGCGAGGUGGAGGUGGUGUUUAAGAUGGAGGCGUGCAAGAUUUGAGUGGGAAAUCCCGAUGGAAGAGAAGCUCGGUAUACUCUUAAAUAGAUCCAUCAUCAUUAAGGAUGUAAAGGAUAUACAGGUAUGGUCAGGUGAUGAAUCUGGAUGUUAUAAUGUCAGUUUUGCUUAUGUUUGCCUUGAUAAAAUUGAUAGAGGACCACACUAUGAUGCCUUUAAGUAUUUAUGGAAGGCUAAGGCGUUCCCUGACGUGUUAACCACAGCAUGGAGGGUUUUGAUGGGCAGAAUGCCAACUAGGGUGUCUUUGGGCAGGAGAGGAGUUGUGUUAAGCACACUAGUGUGUCCGAUGUGCCAGACAAAGGAGGAAUCAUGCCAGCAUCUGUUCUUGGAAUGUAAGAUUGCAAUACAUGUAUGGGCUUUAUGCUUCAGAUGGAGUGGACUAGUGUUUGUCCAACAUAAUGACAUUAUGGCCCACUUUGUGAGUUUCCAUUUAAUGCAGAGCAGCAAGAUACAAAAUGAGGUUUGGAAAGGUGUGUGGGCAGCCAUAGUAUGGUGCUUAUGGGAGCAUAGAAACCUAGUGGUGUUCAAUCAAGGAGUAGCUGAUGCGGAAGAAGUGUUUCACAAUGCCCAACUCAAAUCGUGGUUAUGGCUGAAAAAUAAGGCACAACAUUUCAAUUACUCUUUUGCUGAAUGGAUGAUGAAUCCUCUGGUGUGCAUCACCAGCUGCAAAUGAGUAAGGCAGAGGACAUCAGCGAAGGUAUCAAGGGAAGGGGAAGAGCUGGCUGAAUGCAGUGUUGGAGCAGGCUUUCAUUCGAAGGAAGGAGGGUCUGGGAUCACAUUAACAGAGGAGGUGAAAUGCUAGAUGCAGGGAGAGAAUACCUUGGCAUAGGAUCUCAAGCAAUAUGUUGCAGUUGUGGUUUUACUGCAACCUGCAGGGUUAGUGAAUCAUUCUAGGCGUGAGGUGGAAUGGUGUUAGAGGGUCUAAUGCCUAGCUGUUUGUCACGCGUGCUUGGACGCCACUGCAGAUCCAAAGACCCUAAACGGGUUGUGAAGUAUGAGAGUAUAUGGCCUUCUUAUAUCAGAUAGACUCAAUGUGUGCGUAGUCGGUGGUCGCCGAAGGUAUCCAAAGGUCAACAUGAUCGUCGGUUGAUGAAGCGGCGUUCUCUAUGUCAACAUGAUCGCCGAUCGAUGAAGCGGCGUUCUCCAUAUGUGUGGAGUUAGACAAGGUCAACUUGAUCGCCGGUCGAUGAAACGGCGAUCUCCAUGCAUGCGUAGUCGGUGAUCGUCGAAGUUGGUCAACAUGAUCGCCGGUUGAUGAAGCGGCGUUGUUAACAUGAUCGCCGAUCGAUGAAGCGGCGUUCUCCAUAUAUGUGUAGUCGGUGGUCGCCGAAGUUAGACAAGGUCAACAUGAUCGCCAGUCGAUGAAACAGCGAUCUCCAUGCAUGUGUAGUCGGUCGUCGAAGUUAUGCAAAGGUCAACAUGAUCGCCGGUCGAUGAAACGGCGAUUUCCAUGCGUGUGUAGUCGGUGGUCGUCGAAGUUGGUCAACAUGAUCGCCGGUUGAUGAAGCGGCGUUGUCAACAUGAUCGUCGAUCGAUGAAGCGGCGUUCUCCAUAUAUGUGUAGUCGGUGGUCACCGAAGUUAGACAAGGUCAACAUGAUCGCCAGUCGAUGAAACAGCGAUCUCCAUGCAUGUGUAGUCGGUGGUCGUCGAAGUUAUGCAAAGAUCAACAUGAUCGUCGGUCGAUGAAACGGCGAUCUCCAUGUGUGCGUGUGGCGUGGUGAAUGUAGGUGGCCUCGGUUCUGGGUGUUUUGGUAAAGCUGAAUGAUGCUAUGAGGCAACCUGUUGGUUAUUUUUUGGGUAUGGUUCUCUCCCUUUAAGGUUGUUAUGAUCCAACAUAAAGGAGAGUUUCUUUUGUGAAAGAAAUAGGAAGUCCACUUCUGGUCACUGUAUAUGGGUUGGGAUACUCCUGAAGUAUCCCUUUAAUUUUAUUUAUUCAUUGCUGAUAAAAAAAAAGCUAUAUUGAAGAGAGAAAUAUAGAGCUGGAGGAUAGAUACAGUGCCAUUAUUCAAAAGGGCUUGCCUAAAAAAUCCAAGGACCCAGGAAGUUUUAAUCUUUUUGUGUCUAUAGGUGCUUUAUUUUUAGACAAUGCCUUACUGAAUUUGGGGACAAGCAUAAAUCUAAUUCCUUUGGUAAUGUUGAAGAAAAUAUUUGGAUUAAAGCUUACUAAAUAUUACUCUUUGUUCAUGGAAAAGUUAUACAAUCCAACAUACGAAAAAUAGAAAAGACAAGUAUUGUCUACACAAAAAUUGUAGAAUUUACCAUGCACAUUCAAGUAAAAUGAGUUCAUGAUUCCGCAUUUGAAAACUUUGGAAAAAAAAAAUUAGUAACCCAUUUGUUCUAACUUUAUAGAUGUAAAAUAUUUAAUAGAGAAAAAUAAGUGAAAAAUAUUAUAGAUGUAAUUCUACUUAAAAUGAUAAGGUGAAUGUAAAACAAAAUUUUAUUAUGCAUCAUUAAAUAGUAUGCUUCACUAAAGGAUCAAUUACAUGUAUACGUACACUUUACAUGAAAUAAUUAGGAGAACGAAUCCAAUUCAUUUGAUGCUAAGUUUAUUGUUUCACCAUCUCUAUUAAUUUCAUCUGGAAAUAAAGCAAGUUUUGGAGGUAUUUUCAAGUCUUUAAUGUCUCCUUCAAGCCUUUUCACUACUCUAUUCAUUGAGGGUCGAUCAUUUGGUUUUAGUUAUAUACACCAUAGUGCAACUAUGAUCAUCUUCGAAUUUUAUUUAAUUAGUUAUUAAAGUUUUAUCAGAAUAUAAAUAAUUGAUAGCUAAAAUAUUUUUUUAUCUUUAAAACUAAUUUUUAUUCGAUGAUGCUAGUGAUGAUUUUUUCAAAUAAAUCAAUUGAAGAUGUAUAAUUACGUGAAAUGUUAAUUGAAGAAAAACGAGUGUGAAUUAAAGAAAGUAAAAAUAUAAAUAAAAUUAUGUUUUAAUAUAAAUAAAAAAUAUACAAAGUAAUGAAUUAUGACUCGUCUAAAAAUGGAUUGAACACAGAAUGGUGAAUGAUAAAUAAAAAAAUAUACGUUUGACAUUUGGAUUAGGAUUACUCACCAUACCGGCAUUUAAGCUUCUGUUUAGAAGAGUCGAAGUAGCAAUCUUUAUAGAAAACUGGACAAUGUUUCUGACAGGCGAGUUGCAUCCAUGAAAUCUCAAAUCCAUAGGCGAGUGCGGUGUGCAUGGAAGUGUAGGAAUGGUUAUUGUAAGUGGAGAGAGAAGUGGGAGCAACAAGCUUUACCUCACACCCAACUUCUAAGUCCUCUGCUUUUAGGUCUCCACCAAUUGCAUAUGAAUACCCCUUCCCCUCCCACUUCACCCACUCUCCACUCUCCACAUACUUCUCUUUCUCUCUCACCGAAUGGUUACAAUUCACAAACACUAUAUGCGAGAAACUCAGAGAUUCCCA